CAACUACAUUUCAUGUAUCUGGGAAGAAGGCCAUAUUUAAAAUUUCUUGGCUAUUAUUUUGAGAAACUAGAGGAUUCCUAAGGCAAUCAGGUUAAAGAGUAGAUGAUCGGAAAAGGAGAGUUUUGGGAAAUUUAAAAAAAAAAAACACACACAGAAGGAAAGAAUUGGGGUACUUUUACAAGGGCAACUAAAAAUAUAAACUCCCUGACAAAUAUAGACUCUCUGAUAAAAAAAAGGAUAAAUUAUAUACAUACAUCUUUAAGAUAAUCAUUAUAUUUCUUUGUAUACUAUACUUGAAGUAACUGUAAGCGGUUCUCUCAAGGCUAGAUACAAGCAGUUAUGAUCAUUUUGUCACCUAAUAUUUGCCAGAUACUUUAAAAUUAUUCACUUGCAUUCUUCACAAUAUAGACCCAUAUGGAGAGAUGAAAAUGCUGAGUAACAUGUUACGAAAUACCACACUAGAGAUCAGCUGAAGGCUAAAAACCUAUGGUCUCUUCUUGAUAUAAGAACAUGUAGACUCAAAAAUAAUGGAAGACUGAGAGACAAAGGACAAUAUUUGAAAUAUGAAAAUGUGUUUAAAAUAAAACAAUAAGUCAAAAAAAGAUUUAAAAAAUCUAAUGAACAUAUAUGAGACCACGUUUGAAACCAAGGCUUUGCCUUGUAUAAGUUGCUUCUUAAACAAAAUUUCUUCUAAAAAGAGAAGGUUAACAUAAAUUUUCCCAAAGGUCUCUCCAAGCAUGAAACUGCAGAUUAAAGGAACCAUGCCAGUUGCUGCAACUCCAGACAGAGAGCGAAGGAAUCCUAUACGAGCCCCCUGGGUUUACAGAAGUCUAUCAAUCACCCUGUCGGUCUUCCGGGUCAUUAUUCAAGUUGCUAUACCCAAUUUUGCUGGAUAUAUCAGAUCAAGUCCAGCUCCAUAGAUGGACAGUGUGUUUUCUUCCUAUUUUUAAAAACAGAAAGGUGGAAAAUUAGUGAAUAUUAUGAGGACACAUGGGA
rnacentral:lncRNA from 1 species